GCGGCGUGCUUAACACAUGCAAGUCGAACGAUGAACCACUUCGGUGGGGAUUAGUGGCGAACGGGUGAGUAACACGUGGGCAAUCUGCCCUGCACUCUGGGACAAGCCCUGGAAACGGGGUCUAAUACCGGAUACUGACCCGCUUGGGCAUCCAAGCGGUUCGAAAGCUCCGGCGGUGCAGGAUGAGCCCGCGGCCUAUCAGCUUGUUGGUGAGGUAAUGGCUCACCAAGGCGACGACGGGUAGCCGGCCUGAGAGGGCGACCGGCCACACUGGGACUGAGACACGGCCCAGACUCCUACGGGAGGCAGCAGUGGGGAAUAUUGCACAAUGGGCGAAAGCCUGAUGCAGCGACGCCGCGUGAGGGAUGACGGCCUUCGGGUUGUAAACCUCUUUCAGCAGGGAAGAAGCGAAAGUGACGGUACCUGCAGAAGAAGCGCCGGCUAACUACGUGCCAGCAGCCGCGGUAAUACGUAGGGCGCGAGCGUUGUCCGGAAUUAUUGGGCGUAAAGAGCUCGUAGGCGGCUUGUCACGUCGGUUGUGAAAGCCCGGGGCUUAACCCCGGGUCUGCAGUCGAUACGGGCAGGCUAGAGUUCGGUAGGGGAGAUCGGAAUUCCUGGUGUAGCGGUGAAAUGCGCAGAUAUCAGGAGGAACACCGGUGGCGAAGGCGGAUCUCUGGGCCGAUACUGACGCUGAGGAGCGAAAGCGUGGGGAGCGAACAGGAUUAGAUACCCUGGUAGUCCACGCCGUAAACGGUGGGCACUAGGUGUGGGCGACAUUCCACGUCGU
rnacentral:rRNA from 1 species